rnacentral:snRNA from 1 species
GUGCUCGCUUCGGCAGCACAUAUACUAAAAUUGGAACGAUUAGCAUGGCCCCUGAGCAAGGAUGACACGCAGAUUUGUGAAGCGUUUCAUAUUUUU